CCUACGGGAGGCAGCAGUGGGGAAUAUUGGACAAUGGGCGAAAGCCUGAUCCAGCCAUGCCGCGUGUGUGAAGAAGGCCUUCGGGUUGUAAAGCACUUUCAGUGGGGAAGAAAGCCUUGGGGCUAAUACCCUCGAGGAAGGACAUCACCCACAGAAGAAGCACCGGCUAACUCCGUGCCAGCAGCCGCGGUAAUACGGAGGGUGCGAGCGUUAAUCGGAAUUACUGGGCGUAAAGCGCGCGUAGGCGGUCUGAUAAGCCGGUUGUGAAAGCCCCGGGCUCAACCUGGGAACGGCAUCCGGAACUGUCAGGCUAGAGUGCAGGAGAGGAAGGUAGAAUUCCCGGUGUAGCGGUGAAAUGCGUAGAGAUCGGGAGGAAUACCAGUGGCGAAGGCGGCCUUCUGGAAUGACACUGACGCUGAGGUGCGAAAGCGUGGGUAGCAAACAGGAUUAGAUACCCCGGUAGUC
rnacentral:rRNA from 1 species